AACGUAGGAGGCGAGCGUUAUCCGGAUUUACUGGGCGUAAAGCGCGUGCAGGCGGCUCGAAAAGUUGGAUGUGAAAGCUCCUGGCUUAACUGGGAGAGGUCGUUCAAUACUUUCGAGCUAGAGGAUGGGAGAGGGAGGUGGAAUUCCGGGUGUAGUGGUGAAAUGCGUAGAUAUCCGGAGGAACACCAGUGGCGAAGGCGGCCUCCUGGCCCAUUUCUGACGCUCAGACGCGAAAGCUAGGGUAGCAAACGGG
rnacentral:rRNA from 1 species